rnacentral:rRNA from 1 species
GUUUGAUUCUGGCUCAGAACGAACGCUGGCGGCAGGCUUAACACAUGCAAGUCGAACGAGAAAGCACCUUCGGGUGUGAUUAGAGUGGCGAACGGGUUAGUAACGCGUGGGAACAUACACAGCACUGGGGGAUAACCAUUGGAAACGAUGGCUAAUACCGCAUACGCCCUAUGGGGGAAAGAUUUAUUGGUGUUGGAUUGGCCCGCGUUAGAUUAGUUUGUUGGUGGGGUAAUGGCUCACCAAGGCUACGAUCUAUAGCUGGUUUGAGAGGAUGAUCAGCAACACUGGAACUGAGACACGGUCCAGACUCCUACGGGAGGCAGCAGUGGGGAAUAUUGCACAAUGGGGGAAACCCUGACGCAGCAACGCCGCGUGGGUGAAGAAGCAUCUUGGUGUGUAAAGCCCUGUCAUCGAGGAAUAAAGUGCAGCAAUUAAUACCUGUUGCAUUUGAAUGUACUCGAGAAGGAAGCCCCGGCUAACUCCGUGCCAGCAGCCGCGGUAAUACGGGGGGGGCAAGCGUUAUUCGGAAUUAUUGGGUGUAAAGCGUCUGUAGGUUGCUUACUUAAGUCAGUUGUUAAAUCUUAGGACUCAAUCUUGAAACAGCAACUGAGACUAUUAAGCUAGAGUUGAGUAGAGGCAGAAGGAACUCCGAGUGUAGUGGUGAAAUGCGUAGAUAUUCGGAAGAACACCGAAGGCGAAAGCAUUCUGCUGGGCUAGUACUGACACUGAGAGACGAAAGCGAGGGGAGAGAAUGGGAUUAGAUACCCCAGUAUUCCUCGCCGUAAACGAUGGAUAUUAGGUAUUAGAUGAUAUAAUUUAGUACUGAAGCUAACGCAUUAAAUAUCCCACCUGGGGAGUAUGCUCGCAAGAGUGAAACUUAAAGGAAUUGACGGGGGCCCGCACAA